UCGUUCACUUCAAGGCUAAACUGGUUUUUUUUUUUCUAAUUUCAGAGCAUCUGAAAGAGAGAAAGUCAUAUUCUUUCAGAUCUAGAAAGAAUUGUUUGUUUCAAGCUAAAUAAUCAAAUCAUCUAUUCAUAUUUUUCCAAAUCUGGAUUGACUUGUUCGAUUUCAGGCAAGCUAAUCAAAUCGACAUCAAUUUUAGGUUUCAAUUCGUAAGCAUGUCCGUUUUGAUUUCUGUUUUCAUCGUUAAUGAAGCAAUUAUGGUUUGCUGAUGGUUGGUUAAUCGAUUUCAAUUGAAAUUAAACAGGGGGAAGAAGGUUGUUUUUGAAUUCAAAUAAGAAAUUGAAAGUAAUGAUCGAUUGGGGUAAAUUACCAGAAGAAGAGAUUGGUGCUUGAAGAACAAAAAUGGCUUUACAUUAUUUGAUUGGGGUCUCUUCGUCUUCGAAAUCAAACAACAAUUUUGCAGUUUCAAGUGAUGCUGAUGAAGAUCUUCAUCAUCAUAACCAUCCCCUUCAUACACAUCAGCAGCAGGUGAAAGAAGGUCGUUAUGGAGGAGUAAUAAGAAGACCCUGGGGACGAUUUUCUGCUGAAAUACGAGAUCCGUGGAAGAAAGUACGAAAAUGGUUGGGUACUUUUUAAUACAGCUGAAGAAGCGGCAAUCGCUUAUGAUGAAGCAACUGUAAGUCUAAAAGGACCUAAAGAAAGAACUAAUUUUGGAAAUAGUGUUAUUAGGCCUACGCAUCAACAUCUGAAUCGUCAACAAUGGAGCCGGAGUAGUAAUCUCCAGCAUUUUGUUAGUCCUAAAAAUUUUUUUAUAAAAAAUAUUAUGUCUCAA